rnacentral:pre_miRNA from 1 species
UGGACAUAUUAUUGUAUUCGACUGUAUUCACAGCGUGAAAUAGGGGAUUACACUAUUUUUAAAUGGAAAGUGAAUCAAUUAACAUAAUAGACACCU